GAGGGUGUAGCUCAGGGGUAGAGCAUGUGCUUAGCACGCACGAGGUCCUGGGUUCAGUCCCCAGGACCCCCU
rnacentral:tRNA from 1 species